CGCGGAACUACAUUGCCCAUAAUCCCGGGCGGUGCUGAGCCGGGCAGUAUACCGGCGUGGUUGGUGAGUGUGAGGCAGUGGGGCAGAAAUGUGACUGCAGGAGAGACUGUGAUAUUUCAUCAUCAACACAGACGAUGAGAAGAGCAAGAAUCGCCAUUAAACCCAACAUCAGGCCUGGGGGUCGAAGUGUUACCGGUGGAGAGCAGUCGUCACAAGCCCCCACAGAUGGAGCCGUCACAGCUGAGAAAGCAGCCAGACCCUCACUCUCUCCCUCUCCCCAGCCGAGCCCACCGGAGGAAGGGCCGGCCCAGGCAGUGGGUGUUAAAAACACACCCACCUCACCUUCAGAGAAGGCCUCCACUGACCUAAGUAAUGGAGCGCCCUCCAGUGGCACCACUACCACCCCAGCUCCAGUUCCACAGAGAAGAAUGAGGAUCUCAGUCACUCCAAAACUUGCUGGACCCAAAGCCACAUCCACACCUCGACUGCCUACCAGAGUUCCUCGCUCUGUGCCGCCCACAUUACCCAAAGACGCACCUCCACCAGUGCCUAAUGCACAGUCUGAGACCCCAGCUCCUGACAAUCUGCCUGAACUCAACAUCUCAGGCUUCACAUCCCCCACAGAAGGACCCAGACAGUCUUCCCAUACACAUCCACCUUCUUCUCCAUGCCUUCCAUCAACCUCAUCAACCUCUGAUCUUUAUAAGCCUCUCACCCAUGAGAAAAAGUCAUCAGUGGAGUCAUCCAGCUCUCCAUCCUCUCCACAGCCUGGACAAGUACCUCAGCAACCUCCACACGAGCCAGAACCUCACAAAUAUCCAACAUCAGGAUCCGAUAUGCCUUCUCCCGGCGGGAACCUCUCCUGCUGUGAUGUUCCAGGGUCUCCCCAGAAAGGAAAUGCAAAGGAAUCAGACAAAGAGAGGAUCCUGAGGGCCCUUAAACUGAAGGAACUGAUGAAGAUUGAACGGAGAAAAGAUAUUAAGAAGGAGAAAAGAGGGUCCCGACGAAAGCAAGAAUACAUUUCUGCAGACCGCAGUAAGAUGACCAUGGGUGACCUCAUCUACUACCUCCCUAACACCAGUCCUAUGAGGUAAGCAACAUUUAUUACUAAAAUAAUUAAUUUCUAAAAAUUAAAUCACUCACUUUGGUGAUUUUUUGUGUAUAUUUUCAUUUUAGUAAAUAUAAGAUAAUCUGGUCACUAACAGGAAUUCCACUGUCUGUGAGGGGACUGAAGAAGAGAUUGUUGUUCCACCGUCUCCCAAGUAAGUUAUGCACCAAUAAGAACACAUUUACUUAUCCUCCGCUGUGACUGAUAACAGUUCACAUUA
ensembl:lncRNA